GUGCCUGCCGCUGUCCGCCGAGCGCUCCGUCUGCCGCUGCGCGCUGGGCUACACGGCGCGCGGCACGCGCUGCGAACCCCUGGACGAGGUGCUGAUCUACUCGCUGAGCUGGGAGCUCCGGGGGCUGGCGCUCAACACGUCGGACGGGGUGCCCGUCGACGCCCUGCCGCCCAUCCCGCAGGUGUCCUGCGCCGCCGCCAUAGACUACUACGCAGAGGAAGAGUGGCUGUACUGGGCGGACCCGGAGAGCGGCGCGGGCUGGCGCGUGCGGCGGGCGGGCGCGGGCCGCGAGCGCGUGCUGCAGCAGGCG
rnacentral:misc_RNA from 1 species